CUCCUCCACGGGACUGUCCCGCCCGCUGCGUUCGGUUUAUCGAAGGGGCAAAUGGCUCUUGCUCCGGAAACCGUGUUUCCUCGCCGUCGUCACGCCAACCGCCCGCCCAGAGCAGCCUGUGGUGUUUGAGCAUGUAACACUUUGAAGGGGUCUGUAAAAAGGUUACGUCCGACAUGCAUUUUACACUGUCGAGGAUUUACUGUCUUCUUCUCGACUUGCAGAACAUUCUUAACAGUUGAUCGACGUUACCGUCUGAUGUCAUGUUUUGUUUCUUUGUCUCUUUUGCUUUUAAACCCCCUCCCACCCCACUGCCGCCUGUUCGAUCGAUGUGUUACCUGACAGUGUUGUAGGCCUCCGCGGUGAGAGCACCGCAGUCGGUGGGACCGUUGAUGUGAGAACGGACUGCGGCGCCGGAGCUCGCUCGCCGUGCGUCGCCAGGGUCUGUCGGAGGCCGAAAACGGCGGUUACUGACUUUUUUUUUUUUUUUUUUUUUCCCCUUCUUGAAUUGGGAGAGUUGACGGACAGCCGAGCUCCUGUUCGGAUGCUCUUAGUUUCCGUCCUCUGGGCAGACCCUGGCAGCCGGUGUGGGAUCCUGUCACUGUGACCUCCAGGGCUUAGGAAUGGUAUCAAAUCACACAUUUCUAUUCAUUACGUGUAUGUACAUAUAAAUAUAUUUGUGUGUUUAUAUUCGAUAUAGAACAUACACACAUAAUUAGCGCACCAAACUGCAUGUGUCCAACAUGCCCCGUGUGCUAUGGUUGAAAAACACACACUCGUCCGCUGUGGUUUUGCUGUACACUGGAGAAAAAGAGACGUACGAUUCAUUUUUCCCUUCAUGAAUUUAAUCAGUAAUAAACGUUUUAAAGGAAUAAAUAUUUGACACAUAAUGACUGAUCUCAUGUGUCACUGAUUUUGAGGCUUGGUCUUAACAUCAUUUUAAACCUGUGUCUUUAUUUUUAUUUUUUUUGCUUUCUGUGAAUAAAAUUGUACGGGAGAAAGUGACGAGUUGUCUUUGAAUACUUCUUGCUUCUUUUUGUCUUUAAUGUCGAGAGUCAAUGUUUUAUGAGAGGAGUUCCCCUUCUGCUUACGUGAGUAUUGGACACAUUGACAUUGUGACCUGGUGGCGCCGGAUGACGCUCAGAAAAUAACACGUCAUUACAAUGAAUCCUGAUCCCUAAUGAGAAUACAAUCGAUCUCUUUUCUUUGUGUUGAUCCCUUCGAUAGACUGCUUUGUUCAUAUUAUCGUU
ensembl:lncRNA